rnacentral:rRNA from 1 species
UACAGGGGGUGCAAACGUUGCUCGGAAUCAUUGGGCGUAAAGCGCACGUAGGCGGUUCGUUAUGUCGGAUGUGAAAGCCCUUGGCUUAACCGAGGAAGUGCAUCCGAAACUGGCGAGCUAGAGUACGAAAGAGGAUCGCGGAAUUCCCAGUGUAGCGGUGAAAUGCGUAGAUACUGGGAGGAACACCAGUGGCGAAGGCGGCUACCUGGACCGGUUCUGACGCUGAGGCGCGAAAGCGUGGGUAGCAAACAGG